rnacentral:rRNA from 1 species
GACGAACGCUGGCGGCGUGCUUAACACAUGCAAGUCGAACGGGAAGAAAGAAAGAGCUUGCUCUUUUUGGAUUCUAGUGGCAAACGGGUGAGUAACACGUAAACAACCUGCCUUCAGGAUGGGGACAACAGACGGAAACGACUGCUAAUACCGAAUACCUUCCAAUUUCUGCAUGGAGAUAGGAAGAAAGGGUGGCCUCUACUUGUAAGCUAUCGCCUGAAGAGGGGGUUUGCGUCUGAUUAGCUAGUUGGUGAGGUAACGGCCCACCAAGGCGACGAUCAGUAGCCGGUCUGAGAGGAUGAACGGCCACACUGGAACUGAGACACGGUCCAGACUCCUACGGGAGGCAGCAGUGGGGGAAUCUUCCGCAAUGGACGAAAGUCUGACGGAGCAACGCCGCGUGAACGAUGAAGGUCUUCGGAUUGUAAAGUUCUGUGAUCCGGGACGAAGGCAUUGAUUGAGAAUAUUGAUUGAUGUUGACGGUACCGGAAAAGCAAGCCACGG